GGAGGACCGUCGGAUGAACUGAUGACCUGCUUGCUGGGCUUCCCAUUACUGAUUCGUGAGACAUGAGGACCACUGACUGGUGAGAGAAUUGCCCUAUGAUGGAUGAGCCUGCCUCAAGCUACCAUAAGCUGGGAGGACCGACGGUUGACUGACACUGCGUGCUUGGUUGGCCAUUACCGAUUCUUGAGAAGAUGAGGACCGCCAAGCUUGGAUGAGACUGGAAAAUUACGAAGCUGCUCUAUCUGGACAAGGAUGCCCUCAUCAGACACUUUCCAAUUUGCGGAAUAUUGGAUCAAACAGCAGACUGCAUAUUAUUUUGCAAUAUUAUUAAACAUAAAAACGACGAAAAUACGAAUUCUUACGCCAAAGUUACCGCUGCAAUUGGAAGAAUUAAUAGCUUAAAUCACUGUUACUUGUUAACUUUACUGAGAUACCUUUACCUGAAAUAUUUGACAACGAAUAUGACGAAAAUUGAAGGAAAAAAGUCAAAUGUGUGUAAAAUACAUUGCAGUGAAAAUCAAAUCAUGAGCGGAUUUUCUUCUCACAGAAAUGCUUCUCCGCUUCCAACAAGUGGCUGAGAAAUUAUGAAAUUUACGCCGAAAAUAACUGAAAUCAGUGUUGUUUUUACCUUUACUGCGAUACCUACUUGAUAUAUUUGACUAAACGCGUGUGACGAAACGUGGAAACAAAAAUCAAAUCGGUCAAAUUAAAUUACAACGAAAAUCACAUAGUACGUGGAGUUUCUUCUCGAAGCACGGCACUCUGUUUCCACAGGUAGCUACGGGAAAAUUACGAAAAUUACACCGAAAAUCAACGCGGCAUAUAAGUGAAGUGACGAAACAUAGUUUACACGGCUAAAAAAUCACAGCGUUAGUGAGAGAAAUAAUACUUGAUAUCAGUGUUAUUUUUCUUACCUACAAAGUAAAAA